rnacentral:rRNA from 1 species
UACGAAGGGGGCUAGCGUUGCUCGGAAUCACUGGGCGUAAAGCGCACGUAGGCGGGUCUCUAAGUCAGGGGUGAAAUCCUGGAGCUCAACUCCAGAACUGCCUUUGAUACUGGGGAUCUCGAGUCCGGGAGAGGUGAGUGGAACUCCGAGUGUAGAGGUGAAAUUCGUAGAUAUUCGGAAGAACACCGGUGGCGAAGGCGGUUCUCUGGGCCUGUACUGACGCUGAGGAACGAAAGCGUGGGGAGCGAACAGG